UUUUUGAUUCAGCUGCUCACCAUGCUUGUCGAACGAUGUAACCUCGCGAGCUAUGCGUCUAGGGGAUUAGUGGCGAACGGGUGAGUAACACGUGAGUAACCUGCCCUUGACUCUGGGAUAACCUCCGGAAACGGAAGCUAAUACCGGAUAUGACGCACGGAGGCAUCUCCUGUGCGUGGAAAGAACUUCGGUCAAGGAUGGACUCGCGGCCUAUCAGGUAGUUGGUGAGGUAACGGCCCACCAACAGCCUACGACGGCUAGCCACCCUUAGAGGGUGUCCUGCCAUACUCAGACUGAGAUACGGCCCAUACUGCAUACGGGAGGCAGCCUGGGGGGAUAAUGCACGAUGUGCGCAAAUCUGAUGCAGCUACCGCCCACGUGCGGUAUGACGGUCUUCUGGGUGUAAAACUCAUUUAGUAGGGAAGCAGCGUAAGUGACUGUACCUGACAGAAAAAGCAACCGCUAACUACGUGCCAGCAGGCCGCGGUAAUAAGUAGGCAGCGAGCGUAGUCCGGGAAUAGUGGGGCGUAAAGAGCUCGUAGGCAGGUCUCUCGCGUCUGCUGUGAAAACCCGAGGCUCAACCUCGGGCCUGCAGUGGGUACGGGCAGACUAGGAGUGCGGUAGAGGAGAAUGGAAUUCCUGGUGUAACGGUGGAAUGCCCAGAUAUCAGGACGAACACCGAUGGCGAAGGCAAAUCUCUGGGCCGUAACUGACGCUGAAGAGCGAAAGCGUGAGGAGCGAACAGGAUUAGAUACCCUGGUAGUUCACGCCGUCAACGUUGGGCGCUAGAUGUGGGGACCAUUCCACGGUUUCCGUGUCGCACCUAACGCAUUAAGCGCCCCGCCUGCGGAGUACGGCCGCAAGGGUAAUACUCAAAGGAAUUGACGGAGUACCACACUAGCGGUCGAGCAUGCGGAUUAAUACGAUGCAUCGCGGAGAUCCUAACCGAGGCUUGACAUACCCGAGAACGCACUAGAAAUAGGGAACUCUUUGGACACUCCUGAACACGUGGUGCAUCGGUGUCGUCAGCUUGUGGUUUAGCUUGGUUGUUUUUAAGGCCGGCUUCGACCGCCACCCUUGUUCUCUGUUGGCGGCGUGUAACCGGAAGAACUCCUAGGAUAUCUGCGGGGACCAGCUCCGUCAGCUAGGUGGGAGAUGACGUCAAAUCCACAUUCUCCUCCUCAGUUGGUUUGGGGGUUUCUGCAUGCCUCAAUGGCCGGUCCAAACUGCAGCAACGUAGUAAGUUGGGGCGAAUGCCAAAAAUCACCUCUCAGUUUGCAUUGAGGUCUGCGACUCCACCUCAUGAAGUCGGAGUCGCUAGUAAUCGCAGAUCAGCAACGCUGCGGUGAAUACGUUCCCGGGCCUUGUACACACCGCCCGUCAAGUCAUGAAAGUCGGUAACACCCGAAGCCGGUGGCCCAACCCUUGUGGAGGGAGCCGUCGAAGGUGGGAUCGGUGAUUAGACAAGUCGAGCUUUAGAACACCACCGUAAAGCG
rnacentral:rRNA from 1 species